rnacentral:lncRNA from 1 species
UUUUUUUUAACUUAUUUAUUUUCUGUAUGUUUGGCCAUGUUUCUUUGUGUGCAUAUGUAUGUCUGCUUUCCUCCGAACAUAAGCAGGUCUGACGAGGUGACCACUCUUUUCCUGGAGGAACUGUUGCUGCAGAAACUCAAAGUGCUGCCUUCCUGUUCCGUCUGGGAAAUCCAAGGGUGGUCAUCUUGUUGAAGGUAAGAUGAACUUUUCAUUGUGGUAACGUUAUGUUUUCACCAAAGUAACCACAAGAAAGCAUGUAAGAAACCAGGUCCUGCAUUCUGAUAACUUCAUCCAUAUUCAGUUUAAAACAGAUUUUCUAAUGCUGCACCUCACCUUCACUGUUUUUAAGUCGAGUAUUUUCUGCAUUUGCAUGUGUGUCUCUCUCCUUUUCCCCAACCAUCACAGAAGUGAGCAUCUUCAGUGUUGAACCUGGCAACCACCAAUGUCUUGAGGAAGGAUCUAGAUCACCUCUAAGAGACGAAGUCAGGCAUCCUUGUGCUGCAGGUAAGCUGUGAUGGAGAACACCACUUAACACACUGUCCUUUUGUCACCCAAAUGUCUGAAUGCUUCAACUCCAGAAACAACUUUUCUCUG